UGAUUGGAAGUUGUAAGCACAGUGGUUGUAAGUAACGAUUCGAAUUUUAGUGUCAGCAAAUUUUCGUAAUUCUGGUGGGUUUCUAAGGAUUUUUCAACUCUGGUAUGUGAGACACUGAAUCAGAGUAAUGAACUACUGCUUUUUGUCUCUUCCUAUCAUGCCAUUUCUCACUGACAAAGUUUUAUCUCGCUGCAACCAAAAAUCGCACCAAAUGGCAUGACUGUUUUCUUGAGUUGCUCUUCAAUUCAAGUCCACCAGGAAUGCCUCCGCAACAGCAAGAUUAACAAUACCAUCAUCAGGCUUGACUGUAAUCUUCAUCUAGUUUGGAUUGUCAACCAUCUACUACCAGUUUCUUACAGAUCCAGUAUUUGAAGUUUCUACACUUAAUCAACCAUCAGCAAUCACCAAUUAACUUAAGCACCAUGGCAUGAAAUCAUCACCUUCCUAUGCCAUAUCAGCCGUUUGUAGCCUUUACCACUCUUCUUGGCCUGACAACAUGCAUACUGUUAUGCCAGCCUCUUACGAUACUUUUAUUGCCAUCGCCUUAUUAAGGAGUUAUCAUGCCGCCGUACGGGAUUAAAAACAUUAUGCCUACAGCCAAUUGAAAGAGGGCAUCUCGUAAUCUUUAUGGAUCCAUAACAGCUGACGGCGAUGGCAUUCGGUGCAACGUGGAACUUCUCAUCUGUUUUGUUAUUGUUUUUGUGUUUGUGUGUGUUGUUGUGUGAGUUAACCCGUUGGCUGCCACCCAUUUUGCUCCCAUUUUUUUUUUAGCUGUAGGGAUCGCGCGCACUGCUCUGCCCUAUGGGGUAGGGCAGUGCUCCGCCGCAAGGCGGUUAGGCAAUGCACCAGUAGGGACUUCUCCUUGUUCGAUGCGGUGAUGGUUUCCUGAGGGUGUGCAUUCCCUGUAAAGGUUUCCAUUGCCGUGUCAGCCCGGGCUUGUCUUUGGACAAGUCCCUCCAGAUCGUGGAUCCUUCAGACGACGAUGCGUAGAAUGUAGAGAACAACCUACGGGUUGAAUGGCCUGGCAGCCAACGGGUUAACUCAGUGUAUGUGUGUUUGUAUUGUAAUGUAUUUUAUUGUAUAACUAUGUAAUUGAAAACAGUGGUGGAAUUGUGGGAUGGAGGAGGGACAAUAAAAGAAAUUCUAUUUAUGUA